UGCGUGUCUUCGCACGUGGUCGAGCACACAAACCUCAUCUGCACGAGGGUACAACCCUUGUAUCCACAUCGCGGCGCCGUGGAAUCACGAAAACACACACGCACACACACACACACACACAGAUACAUAUUUCUAGAUUCCAAGGCACGCACACAGUGUUACCAAUGUCAGACAGACGCGAAGACGAACCGGUGGCGAAGCGGACACGCCGCGAGGUCGACCCGGCCAUCACUUUCCCCUAUGAGCUGGACACGUUCCAGAAGACGAGUAUCGACGCUCUCGAGGAGGGCGACAGUGUUCUAGUGUCGGCGCACACGUCGGCAGGUAAGACUACCGUGGCGCUCUACGCCAUCGCCAAGGCUCUGCGAGAGAAGAAGCGCAUCAUUUACACCUCCCCCAUCAAGGCCCUUAGCAACCAAAAGUUCCGCGAGUUCUCCGAGAAGUUCGACUCCGUCGGUCUCAUGACCGGCGACACCACCAUCAAGGCGGACGCGGACUGCCUUGUCAUGACGACAGAGAUUCUACGCAGCAUGCUGUACCGCGGCACCGAAAUGCUGCGCGAGGUGGGCUGCGUCGUCUUCGAUGAGGUACACUACAUGCGCGACAAGUCGCGUGGCGUGGUGUGGGAGGAAACAAUCAGCUUGCUGCCUGAGGGAUGCCAGUACGUUUUCCUCUCCGCCACCAUCCCGAACGCGCGCGAGUUUGCGGACUGGGUGGAGAACAUCCAUCCCACCACAAAGGUGCACGUCAUUCACACAGAGUACCGGCCAGUGCCGCUACAGCACUACUUGUAUCCGGCUGGGGCCGACGGCAUCUUCCUCAUCGUGGAUGAAAAAGGCAAAUUUCGCGAUGACAACUUCGGCAAGGCUAUCGCGUCGAUGGGGGCGGAGGGCGGCGCAAACGGUGUGGGUGCGGCAGGCCCAGGCAACGGCUCCUCCAAAGACCCGCGCGGGAACCACAAGGGUAGCGGUGGCCGCAGUCACGGCGGGUUCUCGCAGUCCAUGAUGGAGAUCGUCAAGCUCGUGAUGGAUCGCAACAUGUACCCUGUGAUCGUCUUCUCCUUCGCCAAGGCGGAGUGCGAGCGCAACGCCCUCGCGCUCUCGCGACUGAACUUCAAUAACACCGAAGAGGAUGCUCUCGUGAUGGAGGUGUUCAACAAUGCUAUGGAGUCGCUGGCGGAGGAGGACCGGAAGCUGCCCGCUAUUGAGCAUCUUCAACCGCUCCUGAAGCGCGGUGUCGGCAUCCACCACUCCGGUCUCCUUCCGAUUCUGAAGGAGGUUGUCGAGAUUCUUUUCCAGGCGGGUUUGGUUAAGGUUCUCUUCUCCACCGAGACUUUCUCGAUGGGGCUUAACAUGCCGGCCCGUACCGUCGUCUUCACCUCUGUCAAGAAGUUCGACGGUGAGAAGAACCGCUACCUCACUGGCGGCGAGUACAUUCAAAUGUCGGGGCGCGCCGGCCGUCGCGGCCUCGACCGCGUCGGCGUUGUGAUUACCAUGGUGGACGAGGCAGUGGAGCCUGACACGCUGAAGCAGCUGACCAGCGGUGGCGCCGACGUCCUGCUCAGCAGUUUCCACCUGACGUACAAUAUGGUGCUGAACCUGCUGCGCGUCGAGGGCGUCGAUCCUGAAUUUAUGAUGAAGCGCAGCUUCUCGCAAUUCCAGCGCCUGCGUGAGAAGCCAGCGCUAGAGGAGAAGGGUGCCGCUCUGCGCAGGUCCAUCGAGGCGAUCAACGUCACCCACGAGAGCGCCUUCCGGCAGUACACGAUUUGCGAGGACAUGAUCGCGAAGAAGAAGAACGAGGUGGACCACAUUCUGCGCCAACCCAAGUUCCUCAAGAACUGGGUGCAGGCAGGCCGUUUUGUGCACAUCAUUCGCGCCUCCGAUCAGCGCGACUUUGGCUGGGGCAUCUGCCGCUCGUUUGCCGCAAAGAGCACCAACCCAAACUUCAGCGACCCCAGCACCUUCUCCAUCCAAGCCGCUGUGAUAUGCAUGAAGGCGGACGCGUCGAAUCCGAGCGCUUUGACGCCGUGCCCGGUCAGCGAGUACACCUCGGAGAAGGCGGACCUAUACACAGUGACGUUCGACUUCUCGGACGUGCAGUGCCUUUCAACGCUCAAGACAAAUCUUCCCGAAAGCCCGGACUCGGAGCGGGGGCGUGCCGAGGUGGUGCAAAUUCUGUCGAAGCUGCAGCGCCAGUUUGGUCACGACAUCCCCGUGCUCACCUCUGCGCAGAUGGGUGCCGAGGACGCGCAGCUGAGUAAGCUGCAGACGCAGCUGUCGAACCUGCAAAAGCAGCUAGAGGGCAACAUCCUUGCCAUAUCCCCCACCCCAGAGCUGCAGGAGGAGUUUGAGAAGUACAAGCGAAAGGCAGACCUCGAGGCUCAGCUGGAGCAGGUGAAGGGUGAGCUAGCUGGCAUGGGCAAGGCGGUCUUCUCCGAAGAGCUGAAGCAGAUGAUGCGUGUGCUGCGUCGCCUGGACUACAUCGACAAGGACAACAUCAUCCUCCGCAAGGCCCGCGUAGCGUGCGAGAUAACGACAACAGACGAAAACGAAAUUCUGCUGACGGAGCUGCUCUUCAAAGGCGUGCUGAACUCGAUGGAGACGGAGAUGAUUGUGGCUCUCUUAUCAUGUCUCGUCAACGUGCACCGCACCCCGGAUGGCUUCUCGUUGCCGCAGGAGUUCGAGCAGCCGCUGAAGGACCUCAACGAGAUUGUUACUCGCAUCGCCACCGUUAGCGCCGAAAGCGGGCUAAUCCAAGAAGACAGCUCGGAGGAGAAGGUUAUGCCGUCACUCAUGGAGGUAAUCUACCUGUGGGCAAAGGGGGCGAAGUUCGUCGAUCUCGUGAGCAUGACCACGGCGUACGAGGGUGACAUUGUGCGCACGAUGCGUCGUCUGGAGGAGAUGCUGCGCCAGCUGGCCUCCGCAGCGCGGUCGCCGGCCAUCGGCAGCAUCGAAUUGCACGAAAAGUUCCUCAAGGGCAUCCAGCUCAUCAAGCGUGAUAUCGUUUUCGCGUCAUCACUGUACUUGUAGUUGCAUUGAGUGAAUGAUGACAGACACGCGUAUGCUUGCGUGUGUGGGUGUGUGUAUAUCUGCAGCUAGUUAGCUACAUUGUCGCUGCUGGCGUAUGCAAGGCCUGUUGUAACCCCACCCCUUCUUUUCUUUGGUGUUUUGUGAGUAACAUGCUAAGCAUCGCAUCGGCGUUCUCGAAUAAGUGAGUCUUGUCCCUCAGUCCCCCUCGCGCGCAGUUGCCGUCUCUCUCCUGCGGAUGGGGUAAGAAAAGUGGACUCUGCGUACAGAAAUGAAUUCCGAACCUAAAGAGUAAGAGGAUCAGUGCCUCCUGUGCACUUGCGUUUAUGCCGGUGUAUGUGUGGGGGAAGGGAAGGGAAGGGGGUGCACUUGGUGCUGUGUAGGCCUACUUCGUGAAAGUAUAGCAAGCAUCGAAUACGGUACCUUUUGUUUUCUUCUGCAUCGCCUUUGCUACUCUCGUGAUUGGCCUCACGCGUCUCCUCGCGGCUUCGCUCUCUUCCUGAUUCUCUCCCCACCUCUCCCCACCUCUCCCCCCCCGUUUCGCGUGCAAGGCCGUUGAGCGGGAGGGUGGGAUGGUUCAUGAAUGGCGCUUAUGUGAGUCGACUCCACUUGAGGCCUUUCGAGACUGAGCAUCGCGUACUCCUGCCACUGUGCACACGCCAAUCCCUCCGCUUUAGCCGCCUUCUCUAUUCCUCUCUCUCCCUCUCUUCCCUGGUGGGCAUCGUCCUCUAG
rnacentral:misc_RNA from 1 species